UUUCAGCACAUCUCUGUUGAAUAUGUUCCAAGGGAUGGAGGAGAACUGCUGUGGGAUAGAGACCUGCGGGCACAUGCAGACCUCCUCAUCAUUAAACCUGUGCAGGAGAGAUGGCACGCUGAAAUGCUGCAGGGAUGUGCCAGGGCAACAUCCCUCCCUGCCUCAAGCUCAAUCUGGAAAGGCUCCAAACUGCAUAUGGAAGACCUGGGGCCACUGGCCUGCCUGUACAUAGGAUACUCACUGCAAGGUGCAGGUGGUGAAGAGUUCAUCGCCCUGGGAGGUUCCAACAGACAUGAGGGGGUGGGGAAGCACAAAACUCCCCCUCCACAGACAACAAAUAUUGGCACGAGUGAUUCCACAAUGCAGCAGACCUCAGUGCUCUUUGGUGGCUCAGCCCCAGUGCCCCCCAAGCACUUGCUAAAAUUGCACUUCCCCGGGAGAUUCCCUGCAGCCGUACACCAGCAAACGUGUUUCCUCCUUUCCUUACUUCCUCAGAAUUUUUACCUUUAACAAUGCACUUGGGCCACAGUUUGCACAGCCAGACUUGCACCCAACUUGGCAGCCCAUCCACCUGCA